AGCGAACGCUGGCGGCAGGCUUAACACAUGCAAGUCGAACGGGCUUCUUCGGAAGUCAGUGGCAGACGGGUGAGUAACACGUGGGAACGUGCCCUUCGGUUCGGAAUAACUCAGGGAAACUUGAGCUAAUACCGGAUACGCCCUUUUGGGGAAAGGUUGACUGCCGAAGGAUCGGCCCGCGUCUGAUUGGCUUGUUGGUGGGGUAACGGCCUACCAAGGCGACGAUCAGUAGCUGGGCUGAGAGGAUGAUCAGCCACACUGGGACUGCGACACGGCCCAGACUCCUACGGGAGGCAGCAGUGGGGAAUAUUGGACAAGGGGCGCAAGCCUGACCCAGCCAUGCCGCGUGAGUGAUGAAGGCCUUAGGGUUGUAAAGCUCUUUUGUCCGGGACGAUAAUGACGGUACCGGAAGAAUAAGCCCCGGCUAACUUCGUG
rnacentral:rRNA from 1 species